AUCAUUUCUCGGCCAAGAUCAAGUGUAGUAUCUGUCAUCAGUUUAAUAUCUGAUAGGUCUUCUAUACGAGGACAAUAUAUUAAAUGGACUUUUGGAACAGUGAGAUGAAACAGGAGCUUGCUCCGUCCACUCCAGGCAUCGAUACUGGUAUUGCAGCAUCUCCAAGAACGGUGCAAAAAAA
rnacentral:snRNA from 1 species